AGAAGAAAGAUUGUGCGCUUGGACAAGCCGUAGAGAUCAAGAGAUCAUCUAACCCAGACUCCUCAUUUUUUAGUGAAUAAUCCGAUGCUCAGACCUGGUAUCUAGCUGGCCUCAGACCACCA